UGUGAUGAUGAUUUUUGCAGACUAGAGUCUCUGACUACCGUUGAUGUCUACACACUGCACUGAACA
ensembl:snoRNA Small nucleolar RNA SNORD52